AUGAAACUCUUGUCAUGGAACUGCCGGGGUCUCGGGAAUGAACCGGCAGUUCAAGCUUUGUUGGACGUCCAACGAAGUACCCAUCCCGAUGUGAUGUUCUUGUCGGAGACUCACCUCGAUAGCUAUCCGGCUGAAUGUCUGAGAUGUCGUUUGAAGAUGGAUCAAAAACUGGUUUGCACUAGUAAUGGGAGAAGUGGUGGUUUAUUGUUACUAUGGAAAAAUAAUAUUGUAGUUCAGAGAUUGGGGUUAGACCCCAAGUUUAUUGAUGUAUAG
rnacentral:rRNA from 1 species